rnacentral:rRNA from 1 species
GACGAACGCUGGCGGCGUGCUUAACACAUGCAAGUCGAACGGAAAGGCCCUGCUUUUGUGGGGUGCUCGAGUGGCGAACGGGUGAGUAACACGUGAGUAACCUGCCCUUGACUUUGGGAUAACUUCAGGAAACUGGGGCUAAUACCGGAUAGGAGCUCCUGCUGCAUGGUGGGGGUUGGAAAGUUUCGGCGGUUGGGGAUGGACUCGCGGCUUAUCAGCUUGUUGGUGGGGUAGUGGCUUACCAAGGCUUUGACGGGUAGCCGGCCUGAGAGGGUGACCGGCCACAUUGGGACUGAGAUACGGACCAGACUCCUACGGGAGGCAGCAGUGGGGAAUAUUGCACAAUGGGCGGAAGCCUGAUGCAGCAACGCCGCGUGCGGGAUGACGGCCUUCGGGUUGUAAACCGCUUUCGCCUGUGACGAAGCGUUAGUGACGGUAAUGGGUAAAGAAGCACCGGCUAACUACGUG